ensembl:snoRNA
UAGAUCAAUGAUGAGAACUGCCAGCGUGUGAGUCAUGGAUGAUGAAUAAUACGUGUCUGGAACUUUGAGAUCCAA